GACGAACGCUGGCGGCGUGCUUAACACAUGCCAGUCGAACGGAAAGGCCCUGCUUGCAGGGUACUCGAGUGGCGAACGGGUGAGUAACACGUGGGUGAUCUGCCCUGCACUUCGGGAUAAGCCUGGGAAACUGGGUCUAAUACCGGAUAGGAGCCAUUUUUAGUGUGAUGGUUGGAAAGUUUUUUCGGUGUAGGAUGAGCUCGCGGCCUAUCAGCUUGUUGGUGGGGUAAUGGCCUACCAAGGCGGCGACGGGUAGCCGGCCUGAGAGGGUGGACGGCCACAUUGGGACUGAGAUACGGCCCAGACUCCUACGGGAGGCAGCAGGGGGGAAUAUUGCACAAUGGGCGCAAGCCUGAUGCAGCGACGCCGCGGGGGGGAUGACGGCCUUCGGGUUGUAAACUCCUUUCGCUAGGGACGAAGCUUUUUGUGACGGUACCUAGAGAAGAAGCACCGGCUAACUACGUG
rnacentral:rRNA from 1 species